AGCAAUGGAUGAGGUGCAAAGAUCAUCAGUACCCCGCGGCAACGGCUGAGAACCGGCCGCGGGCGAAAGGGAGAUUUGCCGAAACGGAGGCCGGUUCUCAGGCCGUCUUCCGUUGGACUGUAUGUGAACAGCAUGCAGGCUGUCAUUAUUCUUCGUGAUAAUGGAGUGCUUCCACUUGU
rnacentral:ncRNA from 2 species